rnacentral:rRNA from 1 species
AUUGAACGCUAGCGGCAGGCCUAACACAUGCAAGUCGAACGAGUGGCGGACGGGUGAGUAAUGUCUGGGAAACUGCCUGAUGGAGGGGGAUAACUACUGGAAACGGUAGCUAAUACCGCAUACCAUCGAAUGGGCCCAGAUGGGAUUAGCUAGUAGGUGGGGUAACGUCUCACCUAGUCGACGAUCCCUAGCUGGGUGGAGAGGAUGACCAGCCACCCUGGAACUGAGACAUGGUCCAGACUCCUACGGGAGGCAGCAGUUGGGAAUAUUGCCCAAGGGGCGCAAGCCUGAUGCAGCCAGGCCGCGUGUAUGAAGAAGGCCUUCGGGUUGUAAAGUACUUUCAGCGGGGAGGCGUUACCCGCAGAAGAAGCACCGGCUAACUCCGUGCCAGCCGCCGCGGUAAUAC